CCCAGUCUGCUGAACAGGACGAGCCACUGCCCUACAAACGUUUGAGACGGUCGGCAAAGCUGCGGGCAAGCAGUGCAGGGAGUGUGACGGAGGCGCGAAGGGGAGCUGGAGGCGGAGAGGGUGCCUCGGGACCGCAGGCACUGGCGCUUCUUUCGGGUUGGAUGCAGGGCGAAGUCACCUCACUCCGCCGUCAGUAACACGAAGCAAUUUCAUAAUGGGCUUUUCAGUGUUUUAAAGGAGCAACAAUUAAACCGAUGGAGAAGUUAGUCAGAAGUCCAGACUGACAACAGCUGACCUGAUAGAGCCACCACAGUCCCAUGUUCAGCAGUCCUGUCUGUCACAUUCUGCAAGAUCUGGAACAAAGGCCCCUGGCUCACACCCUAGGAAGCGGGGGGAAGAAACGGAGGGUGGUGAUGGGAGGAUGCACAUGAAACUCAUCUGGUUGAAACACUCUGUAUAAAUUCUUUGGCUCUCAUAACGACCAGUGAAAGUUAAAGACCAAAUCGAACAUCAGGUGCCUGAGACGGGUUUCCAGUAGCAUGAAGAAGAAUCUGUCUAAGGGGACUCUUAAUGGUCUGUACUGUUCAGACUGAGAGAAAUUGGAUGUGCUGUUGCUACUCAAUUCAGGCUGCGUGCAUGGCAGUAUUUAGGGUAAAAUAAUGUCAGACUCCAGCACAGAACUGUGAAAGUCCAUUUUUUGUUUAUACUUUUAUAUAUUAAUAAUAUAUACAUAUAUGCUUUAACACCCAACAUUACAUCUUUAUGGAAUUACCUUAAUAACAACGUAGAAUGUAUUACUGUAAUAGACUGUAAUAGUACCAAAGUCAGCACUGCAGUAGUGGUCCUACUGGCUUCGUGUAUAGUAAGCAUAGUAAGGGUUUACAAUAUAAGAAAGCAAAGGGAGUAUUAUCCCUCAUUCUAUAGAUAGAGAAUUGAAGCACACAGAGAUAAGAGAUUAGCCAAGGGUCACGCAAAACUGAUAACUCGGUUCUCUCAAGUCAGGCCUUAAGGUCAAGCCCAUCCUCCUGUCUAAUGAGCUGUUACUGCAAAGCCUAUCGUUUGUUUUCUUAAACUGGGCUGCCAAACCAGGCAGCUAAAACAUACUUGAAAAUUCAGUACUACAGAACUAUUUGCUUAAUAGUAGUUUUUCCUAAAAUGCCCUCUACAGUGUUAUAAAUAGAGCAUAAAAAUAGACCAUUGAAAAGAAACCUUUGUUUGGUGAACCCCAGUGUUGCGUAGAACUCUAUUCCUGUAAUUUAAAUGAAUGGGAUAUUUGGAACAUGCCACUACAAUGAAUGAGAACUUCAAACAGAAAACAGGCUGUGCUUUUCAGCACUGGAGGUCAAGAAUACAUUGAGCUUUUAUUUUACAUUUUGUCUUUAAAAAUAUAUGCUUCACAUCUCCUUUUUAUAUCAGCAGAAAUUAAAAACCUACAUAUAAAGCAAAACACGAUAGCCCUUUCAUUAGCAGAACUAAACCAAACCUGAAAAUAAAUCAUACCCAGAUUUUUAAGUCACUGCACUAGUCUUAAAAUGUCAACAUCUUUCAUAAAUUGCGUAAAGAUGAGCGAAGAUUAGCAGUGUCACAAUUUAAAUCCAGUAUUAGAGUUUUGUCAUGCAACACUUAUUUUCUAAUAAGUAAAAGAACAGCAACCAAGAAAACAAUUAAAAUUUAACAUCACAUCCUAUUCUGGAGCUUUGGAAAAUCAUCAGUGCCAUAAAAAGAUGGUCAAACUUUUCUAUACCAACAAACAGCCCUGCAGGUAAACCUUUGGAGCUUUGAAAAAUGCAGUUUUCCAAAAUUGGAAGCAUACUACCACUAAUUUUGGGUUUUAAUUAUUUAUUUAGCCAUGGAUACAUGUGAAAGCUAAGUUAUCUGUUGAAAAGUACAGGCAGAGUAUGGAAAAGUAAGACAGGUGAAGAGUAACUAUUUAACAGUUAUGUCUUAUAAAUGAGUAUAUGGAUUUAGUGUGGCACUGGAUAUUUUAUGUAACCAUAAUUAUUCAAUUAACUUUGAUAAAAUUGUAAGAGAAACUUAAUGCAUCAUAUCAGAGAACUAUAUAUGCAUGUUCCUUUACGGAUGUAAAAAAUAAAACAAGUACCAAAGUCCUAGGAAGCCUGUUGUCAGUCUAUAAAAUUAUUGUAAAUGUCCUUUUUAGACAUGCUGAUACCAUAAAAUCUUCUUUAAAAAGGCAUUGAUUGUGAUCUUUGAUAGAUAUGUUUAUAAACUAGCUGGUUGACUGUAUAUUUUGUAAAAAGAUAGUAUGCACUUCAAAUAACAAUGUCUCAUUUUAAAUAAACUUUGUACACAUUUCAAAAUUUA